rnacentral:rRNA from 1 species
UACGUAGGGUCCGAGCGUUUGUCCGGAAUUACUGGGCGUAAAGAGCUCGUAGGUGGUUUGUCGCGUUGUUCGUGAAAACUCACAGCUCAACUGUGGGCGUGCGGGCGAUACGGGCAGACUUGAGUACUGCAGGGGAGACUGGAAGUUCCUGGUGGUAAGCGGUGGGAAUGCGCAGAUAUCAGGAGGAACACCGGUGGCGAAGGCGGGUCUCUGGGCAGUGAACUGACGCUGGAGGAGCGAAAGCGUGGGGAGCGAACAGGA